rnacentral:lncRNA from 1 species
AAUGUUUUCUUUUCAUGUGAAAUUUUAAUUAAAAAUGGUGGCUCAAUAUAACACAUCAAAGAGAGCCUCUAGAUGUUUUUAUGUUUGAUACCAAAAGAUCAAUGUGUGUUGUAAAAUUUUGAAAAGGCAUAUUAUUGUCAAUAAAGUUGUUCUUCCUUCUUUUAUUUAGCUAUUCUAUAGUACAACUGUACAAGAUAAAUCUUAUGUGCUUAUUCGGUUGUUAAGAUCGAAAGAUGGCUGUUAAAAAAUAAUAGAGUGUAAUGGCAUCAAAGUACGAAUUCAAUAAAGGUACACAAAAUAUUUUAGCAUAGCUUCCAAUUUUACAUUGUAA